UUUUUCGCAGAACGGCAGCGUUCCUGCUCCUUCACGGGGGGUGAAUACCGGAUUCGGGUUCUUUACCUGGCGGUAAUA
rnacentral:tRNA from 1 species